CGAACGAACUCCACUGCCCGG
rnacentral:miRNA from 1 species